AAUUAUCACACGACAUGUGGUGGCAUCUAGACGCACCACUUCACAUGCUCCCAAGCCUAAAAAGGAUAGGGAUAAUUAAUUCAGUGCCCUUAGUUGUGUCUCCCUCGGCUGGUUUACCCUUAAUUUUGAAAAAAAAACUUGAUCUUGCCCAAGUGCGUUUGGUAUCCUUUGUUUUUGCCUUCCGUCUCAAUUCCGUCCGAUCAAAGGUGUUUGGCUGCUAGGGAGAUAUUUUUCUGGACCAUUUUGCCCUUCCUUACAACUUCGGUUGAAAGUCAACGAAAAAACUUUCCCUCUCUCUUACCUAUGGGACCCACACCCUCAUCCCCUUCCUAUCUUCUUCCUCCCCCAGCUCUUGCCCGACUUCCAUCCCCAACCAUGGCGCUCUGAGACCCGCGGUCGGCCGCCGGUCCCUCCCUGACCUCCAUACUGGUCGGAUCCGGGCUAGCCAAAGCCUCUUGCGACCAGAUCAGUCGUCUCUGCCAUGCACCCAUGCCUCCCAUCGAUCCUGGCCUCUCCUAAAUCGCAUCGCCACACCAUGCCUCGCAAGAGGCUUGGGCACUCCGCCCGCCUACCUCGGUCGCCUAGCUCCAUGACGAACUUGGCGACAUCACCCGAUGCAGGGCUUCGGUGCGGCUACGAGGUGUGGGUGCUCCCGCGCGGCUGCAAGGCAGAGAUGCGAGGUGCCGGUGCUAUGGUGCGUUUAUGAGGCACAGAUGCGAGGUGUGGCUGCUCCGGCAACAUGAAUAACGAGGAACUAUGAGGAUCUACAUGUGGCACGCGGGCUCCUUCCUCUCC
rnacentral:lncRNA from 1 species